CCUAUGGGAGGCCUAGCCUGAGGUUGGAAGGUAGAAGGACAGAGCGGCCAAGGUCACGCUGAAAAGAAGCAGUCCCAAACAGACAAUUUGCAUCUUUGAGACUCUCUGCAAAAAGAUGACAUAUGGACACACAUUCAUCUCAUUGGCAUGCCACAACCAAGUUGCACUGUGUGGU